rnacentral:rRNA from 1 species
UACGUAGGGUGCAAGCGUUGUCCGGAAUCAUUGGGCGUAAAGCGCGCGUAGGCGGCCCGAUAAGUCCGCUGUAAAAGUCAACGGCUCAACUGUUGAAAGCCGGUGGAUACUGUCGGGCUAGAGUACGGAAGAGGCGAGUGGAAUUCCCGGUGUAGCGGUGAAAUGCGCAGAUAUCGGGAGGAACACCUAUGGCGAAGGCAGCUCGCUGGGACGUUACUGACGCUGAGACGCGAAAGCGUGGGGAGCGAACAGG